GUCCCUGUAGCGUAAUGGAUAGCGCGUUCCAAUGGUCGUGGGUUCGAAUCCCACCUGGGAUA
rnacentral:tRNA from 1 species